UCACAAUUGACCUAUUUCGAAAACAACUCUUCUCUCUCGUUCUCUCCGCCGUUCCCCGAUUUGGCGAUUUCCCUGUAACUCGUCGCUUCAUGCCUUCAUCCUCCAUCCCUCCAGUAGUCCAGUCUGCUCCAUCCCUCUUCCGCUGCUUUGGUAGAUCUACGAUUCUGCGGCAAUCCCAAUGAGUCAACGACGUCGUCGAUCACCUCAAAUCUGGCGGCUACCGCGGCCUCGAUCUUCUCUCAGAUCGAGGUUCGAGUGCUAUUCGGGGGCUUCCCCUUUUCUGCAAGGAUACCCUAAACACAUCUCUAAAUCUGCAAUCUAGCAGGGACUGAAAGUCUGAAACGAUGGCUUUUGAAUCAAGGACGAGGAAGAGAAAACCAAGGAAUUGUGAUCUCUAAUAACUGGUACCAGUUCUUAGUAACUGGGCUGCAGGCAUAUGAUAAAAGGGAAGAGUAAAGAAGCUUUCAUUGCAUUUAGAGAAGCAUUGAAGUCCAAGUUCGCUGCAUAUAAGUUGUAUUAAUAAUUUGUUUUUGUUCUAAGUUGUAAUUGGGAAUGUUCCUAUACUUUGUAUUCUCCGUCUUUUUAUUUCAAUACAUUAA